GCGAGUCUUUGCAGUAAUGCAGGGCAUACGGCUCAGUAACACGUAGUCAACUUACCCUAUGGACGAGGAUAAUCUCGGGAAACUGAGCAUAAUACUCGAUAGAUCAUAAUGCCUGGAAUGGUUUAUGGUUGAAAUGAUUCGUCGCCAUAGGAUGGGACUGCGGCCUAUCAGCUUGUUGGUGAGGUAAUGGCCCACCAAGGCGAUUACAGGUACGGGCUCUGAGAGGAGAAGCCCGGAGAUGGGUACUGAGACAAGGACCCAGGCCCUAUGGGGCGCAGCAGGCGAGAAAACCUUGCAAUGUGCGAAAGCACGACAAGGUUAAUCCGAGUGAUUUCUACUAAAGAAAUCUUUUGCAAGUCAUAAAACCACUAGUGAAUAAGGGGUGGGCAAGUUCUGGUGUCAGCCGCCGCGGUAAAACCAGCACCUCAAGUGGUCAGGAGGAUUAUUGGACCUAAAGCAUCCGUAGCCGGCUCUGUAAGUUUUCGGUUAAAUCCAUGUGCUCAACGCAUGGGCUGCCGAAAAUACUGCAUAGCUAGGGAGUGGGAGAGGUAGACGGUACUCGGUAGGAAGGGGUAAAAUCCUUUGAUCUAUCGGUGACCACCUGUGGCGAAGGCGGUCUACCAGAACACGUUCGACGGUGAGGGAUGAAAGCUGGGGGAGCAAACCGGAUUAGAUGCCCGGGUAGUCCCAGCUGUAAACGAUGCAGACUCGAUGAUGCAUUGGCAUAUAGCCAGUGCAGUGUCGCAGGGAAGCCGUUAAGUCUGCCGCCUGGGAAGUACGUACGCAAGUAUGAAACUUAAAGGAAUUGGCGGGGGAGCACCACAAGGGGUGAAGCCUGCGGUUCAAUUGGAGUC
rnacentral:rRNA from 1 species